UACGUAGGGUGCAAGCGUUGUCCGGAAUUAUUGGGCGUAAAGAGCUCGUAGGCGGUUUGUCGCGUCCGCUGUGAAAACUCAGGGCUUAACCCUGAGCCUGCAGUGGGUACGGGCAGACUAGAGUGUGGUAGGGGAGAUCGGAAUUCCUGGUGUAGCGGUGGAAUGCGCAGAUAUCAGGAGGAACACCAAUGGCGAAGGCAGCACUCUGGGACGGUACUGACGCUGAGACGCGAAAGCGUGGGGAGCAAACAGG
rnacentral:rRNA from 1 species